AUUGAACGCUGGCGGCAUGCCUUACACAUGCAAGUCGAACGGCAGCACGGGAGCAAUCCUGGUGGCGAGUGGCGAACGGGUGAGUAAUAUAUCGGAACGUGCCCAGUCGUGGGGAUAACGUAGCGAAAGCUACGCUAAUACCGCAUACGUCCUACGGGAGAAAGCAGGGGACCUUCGGGCCUUGCGCUAUCAGAUGAGCCUAGGUCGGAUUAGCUAGUUGGUGGGGUAAUGGCUCACCAAGGCGACGAUCCGUAACUGGUCUGAGAGGAUGAUCAGUCACACUGGAACUGAGACACGGUCCAGACUCCUACGGGAGGCAGCAGUGGGGAAUAUUGGACAAUGGGCGCAAGCCUGAUCCAGCCAUGCCGCGUGUGUGAAGAAGGCCU
rnacentral:rRNA from 1 species